rnacentral:rRNA from 1 species
AGUGAACGCUGGCGGUAGGCCUAACACAUGCAAGUCGAACGGCAGCACAGUAAGAGCUUGCUCUUACGGGUGGCGAGUGGCGGACGGGUGAGGAAUACAUCGGAAUCUACUUUUUCGUGGGGGAUAACGUAGGGAAACUUACGCUAAUACCGCAUACGACCUACGGGUGAAAGCAGGGGAUCUUCGGACCUUGCGCGAUUGAAUGAGCCGAUGUCGGAUUAGCUAGUUGGCGGGGUAAAGGCCCACCAAGGCGACGAUCCGUAGCUGGUCUGAGAGGAUGAUCAGCCACACUGGAACUGAGACACGGUCCAGACUCCUACGGGAGGCAGCAGUGGGGAAUAUUGGACAAUGGGCGAAAGCCUGAUCCAGCUAUACCGCGUGUGUGAAGAAGGCCUUCGGGUUGUAAAGCCCUUUUGUUGGGGAAGAAAAGCAGCAGGUUAAUACCCCGCUGUUUUGACGGUACCCAAAGAAUAAGCACCGGCUAACUUCGUG